rnacentral:rRNA from 1 species
UACAGAGGGUGCAAACGUUUGUUCGGAAUUACUGGCGUAAGCGUAUGUAGGCGGCCUUGCAAGUCAGUUGUGAAGCCCGGCUUAACCGGGAAGUGCUUCUGAUACUGCAUGGCUUGAAUAUUGGAGAGGAUAGUAGAAUUCCAAGGUGUAGUGGUGAAAUACGUAGAUAUCUGGAGGAAUACCGGUGGCGAAGGCGGCUAUCUGGCCAUAUAUUGACGCUGAGAGUACGAAAAGCAUGGGGAGCAAACAGG